UACGAACUGUGCGAACGUUAUUCGGAAUCACUGGGCUUACAGGGUGCGUAGGCGGCUAGCAAGUCAGGUGUGAAAUCCCCGGGCUUGAACCUGGGAACUGCAUUUGUGACUGCAUGGCUGGAGUGCGGCAGAGGGGGAUGGAAUUGCCGGCGUGUAGCAGUGAAAUGCGUAGAUAUGCGGAGAACACCGAUGGCGAAGGCAAUCCCCUGGGCCUGCACUCGACGCUCAUGCACGAAAGCGUGGGGAGCAAACAGG
rnacentral:rRNA from 1 species